rnacentral:lncRNA from 1 species
UGGGCCAAGUUGCAUUUUAUGUUGAGGACCUUUGAAUCGGUCUUCGAUUUUUUAUUUCAAAGUUCAUCCGAAAUUUUCUUGAUUAUUAUGAUCUCUGGCCUGCUCAGCUGGCUCGAAACUCCAUCCAACUGAUCAUUAGUUUUGUCUUAUUACGUCGUCUUAUCCCAACUGAUCCUCGUCCCUCUUUAUUUUGGGCUUUUUUUAUUCUCCAUCCUCACCCUAAGGCCAAAGGUUGGUGG